rnacentral:pre_miRNA from 1 species
CCUCCGUCCCAAAAUUCUUGUCUUAAAUUUGUCUAAAUACGGAUGUAUCUAGUUACAUUUUAGUGUUAGAUACAUCCGUAUCUAAACAAAUGUAAGACAAGAAUUUUGAGACGGAGGGAAUACUAC